rnacentral:rRNA from 1 species
GUGGGGAAUCUUGCGCAAUGGGCGAAAGCCUGACGCAGCCAUGCCGCGUGAAUGAUGAAGGUCUUAGGAUUGUAAAAUUCUUUCACCGGGGACGAUAAUGACGGUACCCGGAGAAGAAGCUCCGGCUAACUUCGUGCCAGCAGCCGCGGUAAUACGAAGGGGGCUAGCGUUGCUCGGAAUUACUGGGCGUAAAGGGCGCGUAGGCGGACAGCUUAGUCAGAGGUGAAAGCCCAGGGCUCAACCUUGGAAUUGCCUUUGAUACUGGCUGUCUUGAGUUUGGGAGAGGUGAGUGGAACUCCGAGUGUAGAGGUGAAAUUCGUAGAUAUUGGAAAGAACACCAGUGGCGAAGGCGGCUCACUGGCUCGGUACUGACGCUGAGGUGCGACAGCGUGGGGAGCAAACAGGAUUAGAUACCCGUGUAGUCC